ensembl:lncRNA
CUGCAAGCGAAGAGACUAGAACACCCAAGGCCGAUUUCCUUUUAUGGAGUUGUUUUUCUGCUAAUGCAGCACUUUCCUCACAACCCCCUCCUGUAAGUUUUAGAGAAUAUAUACCCAUCCUCACAGCAAAUCUUGGGAAUCUCCUGAUGUGAGCUGUGUUGAGAGGUUGUCUCUGUCUCAAUAAAAGUUCACUGAUUCCCCAUCUGCCGCAGGUGUCCGGUUGUCUUCAUUCUCCGCCAGCCUGGAUCCGCUCCAGGCCAACUGGAACGGAUGGGAGGACUUCGGCCGUGGUCUGAGUGAACGGAGUUUGGACAAAAGCUGUGUGCACACAAAAAACAAGUUUUGUCGCCCAGUAUUCCUCACAGGUCGCUGAAAGAAACCAGCAAGAGCUGAAAGAGGCGGCUACACCUGGAAUGGACUACGUCCUCCUGAAAGUCACAAAGAGAAAGUGGGCUGAGCCUCGCUGGACAGGCCCUUACCGCAUAACAGAGCGGACCUCCCACGCUGUCAGGCUCGAAGGGAAAGGUGACACCUGGUUUCAUUACACACAGUGCGCUGCUGCCACCGAACCAGGAAGAACCUUAAGAGAGGUGCAGAAGGACCUGUCAGAAGGAGCUGCAACAGCAUCACCAACCACUUGAGGGAGCCAAAACUCAACCUACAAGCCGGCUGGUUACAAAAGGGGGUGUUCUUCAUACUGAACUAAA